AUUGAACGCUGGCGGCAGGCCUAACACAUGCAAGUCGAGCGGAGCGGCGGACGGGUGAGUAAUGCCUAGGAAUCUGCCAGGUAGUGGGGGAUAACGUCCGGAAACGGGCGCUAAUAUCGCAUACUAUCAGAUGAGCCUAGGUCGGAUUAGCUAGUUGGUGGGGUAAAGGCCUACCAAGGCGACGAUUCGGAACUGGUCUGAGAGGAUGAUCAGUCACACUGGAACGGAGUCACGGUCCAGACUCACACGGGAGGGAGCCGUAGGGAAUAUUGGACAGUAGGCUAAAGCCUGAUCCAGCCAUGCCGCGUGUGUUAAGAAGUUCUUCGGAUUGUAAAGCACUUUAAGUUGGGAAGCGUUACCAACAGAAUAAGCACGGGCUAACUUCGUGCCAGCCGCCGCGGUAAUAC
rnacentral:rRNA from 1 species